rnacentral:rRNA from 1 species
CACGGGGGGAGCAAGCGUUGUUCGGAAUCACUGGGCGUAAAGGGCGUGUAGGCGGUUCAGUAAGUGGAAUGUGAAAUGCCCCGGCUUACCCGGGGACCUGCAUCCCAAACUGCUGGACUUGAGUACGGGAGAGGAUGAGGGAAUUCCUGGUGUAGCGGUGAAAUGCGUAGAUAUCAGGAGGAACACCGGUGGCGAAGGCGCUCAUCUGGCCCGAUACUGACGCUGAGGCGCGAAAGCUAGGGGAGCGAACGGG